AGUGAACGCUGGCGGCGUGCUUAACACAUGCAAGUCGAACGAGAACGGGGUAUAGCUUGCUAUAUUUGUCAGCUAAGUGGCGCACGGGUGAGUAAUGUAUAGAUAACCUGCCCUCUAGAAAGGAAUAACAGUUGGAAACGACUGCUAAUGCCCUAUAUGCCUUUAAUACAUAAGUAUGCAAGGGAAACGCUUUAGUGCUUAAGGAUGGGUCUGUAUGGUAUCAGCUUGUUGGUGAGGUAAUGGCUCACCAAGGCUAUGACGCCUAACUGGUUUGAGAGGAUGAUCAGUCACACUGGAACUGAGACACGGUCCAGACUCCUACGGGAGGCAGCAGUGGGGAAUAUUGCACAAUGGACGAAAGUCUGAUGCAGCAACGCCGCGUGGAGGAUGACACAUUUCGGUGCGUAAACUCCUUUUAUAUAGGAAGAUAAUGACGGUACUAUAUGAAUAAGCACCGGCUAACUCCGUGCCAGCAGCCGCCGUAAGAC
rnacentral:rRNA from 1 species